UAGAAAUAACGACUGACGAGAUACCACGAAGAGAAGUCGCGCAGCGCGUAUUUUCAGACAUUCCUAAAAUAAACCCGCAUUUCCUCCGCGACUAGCUUGGAAGCUUAAUAUUCUGAAUCACAGCACAAAGAUUUCGUGGUAGCGAAUGACGAUGCGUGAUCCAAGGGGCCCCAGAUCUGAGACAUGCAAAACAUUUGAAAUAUUUCGCACCACCUCGACGAAGGCUCGUAUACUAAAAUCAAAAAACAACUUUUUACUUAUUCACAUUUUUAUUACCGAGCAACUUUCACAAAUUGUAUCUGUAUUGUCUGUAAGACGUGCCCUGCAGUGAUCAUCACAUAUAGCUUAUGAUCCUCGGGCCAUAGUAUGUAGCGAAAACCUCAGCUUUUCAGUCUUCCAAAAGCUGACUGUAUCACCUGAGAUCAAAAAAACAGGAUUCACAAACGUUCUCAUACGUCGUGACAACGAGAAAUUGUACAAAUCUUUACCAAACUUCAAAGCAAUGAGCUUUGCACGGUAACCGCCACCAGAGAUAUCGGCAGCACUCCGGCCUUGGUUUGUGAAAACAACCCGGUCGGCAGCAAGGACGUUGAGGGACGUAGUACUUGGGUCGUGGUUCCGGUUUCAGAGGAAUGGUGACCGUGCAACCCCUACAAGAGUCGCAGAGUUACAAACGGAUAAACCAGAGAAAAUCAAGACGAAGAUGAUGGGAACUUGCCCAUGAAGCAUUAAACCUGACCUGUGCCGGGCGGACUUUGCACUGCACCUUCGGAAAUACAAUUAAUCCAGCCACGACGAGCGAUGCCUUCCGAUGAUCACUCAUUGUCAGAGUCGAACCGCUCAUUUCAAGGGACUCGCUGCCACCCUGGCAGGACAUUGCGGAGGACAUGCUGGAGGACACGGCGGUGGACAGUAAGGAACGCAUUUUGGAGGACAGGGUCCGCACGGCACCGGUGGUGUACAAAUCGUGAUUCGGCAAGGCGGGGGACAAGGACAACAUGGUACGCACGGCGUGCAAGGUGGACAAGGUGGUGGGCAGCAAGGGUAUACAGGACUAUUCUGCUUGCAACCUGGGGAGGAAGGAGCUUGAGGCGGAGACGAGCCACCACAGCACGACAUUUUCUUCAAAUUUUUCGAUCCCCUGGAACAAUCACUGCUGUUCGCUGGAUUAAAAUACAGACUUCUAAAUUGAUAAGGAGUUAGGCUUGCACCUACAUUACACAGUACACUAAAUAAGUGAUCCAGGACACCUGAUGACGGCAAUGUAAAAUAUAACAACUCGUUGACCAUGGACGAUAAAAUAUUAGCAUCGAGGUGGUGGGCAACAAGGCAUGCACGGUAAACACGGUGGUGGGCAUGGUGGAGGACAAGGCGGCGGACAUGGCAUACAGGGAACACACGAAGGGCAAGGCAUACAACGAGGCGGCGGUGGACAGCAACUGAUGCAUGGUGGGCAAGGUGGAGGACUGCAGGGCGGUGGACAGGGUGGAGGGCAGCGAGGUGGCGGACAACAUGGAGGCGGAGGGCAUCGAGGUGGCGGACAACAUGGAGGCGGAGGGCAUCGAGGUGGUGGACAAGGUUGUGCUGGUGGUGGUGGGCAGGGUUGUGGACAACAUGGUGUAGCAGGGCAUGGAGGUGGACAUGGUGGUCCGGCACAUGUAUUGCCACAGGUCCGUUAGUUUGAGGAGAGCUGCCCGACCUGGACCACAAACUGGGUAAAGCUUCGUCAUGCACUCCGGUCGGCCCAUGCAAUCGUACAUCAUGCAACGAUCCUGCAGUCCGUUACGCAGGAUGCACUCACAUCUGUACAUUAUUCCACCGCGAAGUUCGAAGCUCUUGCAUGCCUUGAUUGGGCUCUGUCGACGAAACG